rnacentral:rRNA from 1 species
UGGCGGCGGCUUACCAUGCYGUCGAGCGGAAGCACAGGGGAGCUUGCUCCCCGGGUGACGAGCGGCGGACGGKUGAGUAAUGUCUGGGAAWCUGCCUGAUGGAGGGGGUAUAACUACUGGAAACGGUAGCUAAUACCGCAUAACGUCGCAAGACCAAAGAGGGGGACCUUCCCNCCCUCUUGGCCAUCAGAAUGUGNCCAGRAUGGGGAUUUAGCUAGUAGGU